UACGAAGGGUGCAAACGUUGCUCGGAAUCAUUGGGCGUAAAGCGCACGUAGGCGGUCCUGUAAGUCGGAUGUGAAAUCCCUCGGCUCAACCGAGGACGUGCACCCGAAACUGCAGGACUUGAGUAUGGAAGAGGGUCGCAGAAUUCCCGGUGUAGAGGUGAAAUUCGUAGAUAUCGGGAGGAAUACCAGUGGCGAAGGCGGCGACCUGGGCCAAUACUGACGCUGAGGUGCGAAAGCGUGGGGAGCAAACGGG
rnacentral:rRNA from 1 species